AUACUCUGGUUUCUCUUCAGAUCGCAUAACUCUUUCGCCUUUUACUAAAGAUUUCCAUGGAGAGGAACAGUUAUGAGUGUUUAUAAAUAUACCGUAUUGCUAGUGUUAGAACU